GGGGAAUUUUCCGCAAUGGGCGAAAGCCUGACGGAGCAACGCCGCGUGAGGGAAGAAGGCCUCUGGGCUGUAAACCUCUUUUCUCAAGGAAGAAGAUCUGACGGUACUUGAGGAAUAAGCCACGGCUAAUUCCGUGCCAGCAGCCGCGGUAAUANCAGGAGUGGCAAGCGUUAUCCGGAAUUAUUGGGCGUAAAGCGUCCGCAGGCGGCCUUUCAAGUCUGCUGUUAAAGCGUGGAGCUUAACUCCAUUAAGGCAGUGGAAACUGUUGGGCUUGAGUGUGGUAGGGGCAGAGGGAAUUCCCGGUGUAGCGGUGAAAUGCGUAGAUAUCGGGAAGAACACCAGUGGCGAAGGCGCUCUGCUGGGCCAUAACUGACGCUCAUGGACGAAAGCCAGGGGAGCGAAAGGGAUUAGAUACNCCCUGUAGUCAAUC
rnacentral:rRNA from 1 species